rnacentral:tRNA from 1 species
GCCCUGGUGGUCUAGUGGUUAAGACUCGGUGCUCUCAUUGCCGUGGCCUGGGUUCAUUUCCCGGUCAGGGAA